GAUGGCAAAUGAUGCAAAAUUCUUAUCCUACACACCGAACUAGAUGUAGACUACAACACCGCUUAUUAUCUGAUGCCUUC